rnacentral:lncRNA from 1 species
UUGCUUUGUUUUGGUGUUUUAACUUUUAAUUUUACAUUCUUUGAGUCUAGUUUAGUGUUUUAAACUUUGUUUUUACAUUAUUGAGUCAGUUUUCAAGAGAUUAGCAAUCCCUCCUAAUCCCCGGUUUAGAACGAUCCCUACUUACAUAUUUACUACAAUUUGACAAAAGAGGGUUUAAUUUGUGUGCUUAAUAUAUUUCGCAUCAAAGCAAUUGUGACUAGCAACCUUCACUACUUGUCAAUAUAAGUUCGUAACGAUUAGGUGAAACUCCCUUAUAUUCUAGCAUCAAAUUCAUGCAUGAAAAUUAAGCGUGCACUCUCAACCAACAUACACAAAUCAGUUUUUAUACGAACGGAUAAGUAAAUUGAAUUCACAACUUAUAAAACACAACUGGAUGUAAUCAAAUCAUAUUGCAAGCAUGAACAUGGUUUCGAAUCAUCCCCUAACUAAAAGGGUUUAGUUCCUCAUACUCACAAAACAAAGAUUAUUGAAUUGAAACAUUGAAAACAAAAGAAAGAUUACACCUAGAAACGCUCCAACAAUCCAACGUCUUGAAUGGCAAGCACGUCCAAGGGUUUCCUUCUUUCUUCUUUGCUACGACACAAGGGUGUUUGGUGAUGAUUUGUUGUGAAUUGUGGUGGUGGAUGGAUGUAGGUAGGUUAUGGUGAAGGAUGGAAUCUUCUCCAGAAUGGUGCGGCAAUAACAUAUAUAUAUAGGAGAGGUUAAGGCACGGUUUGGAACUGAAAUUGGCUAAGUUUAAAUUUCCAAAUCCUCCAAGAAAAGGUAAGAAAUCAGAAUUAAAAGGAGAAAAGGUAAGGUGAUGUGCGGCAAAGACUAGAAAAUUAAGGGAAUGUGAUUUCCUUGCAGAUUUGGUGCCACAAUAAAGGUAAGUUGGAGGGUUGGGUGCGGCAACUUCCUAGGCAGGUUCUAGGACUUCUAGAAACAUGUAAUUAGGCAACCUAACAUGUUUUGAAACCCUUUUGUGGCUGGAAUAUAGGUGAGAAAGGAUUAGGAAACUUCCAAGCCAAGAAUAGAAACUUUCAAGAAUGGAAACCUCCAAGAAUAGAAACUUUGGUUUCCAAUUAUGAACUCUUUGUUCUUCAUUUUCAUUUCUUCAUUUCAUUAUUCAUUCCUAGCCUCCUUUGAUCUUCAAUUUCGUCCAUCCACCUUGCUCCAAGCAUAAGCUAUCCAUUCCAUGCCCAAAACUGCUCCAAAAGGCUCCAAAAUGCACAUGUUUGCAUACUUUAUCCUUAAAACCUGAAAUUGCACGAAAAUAGCUUAAAAUACUAAAAUUACUAAGUACUAGCAACGUAGAUGCAAGGAAACAAGCUAAUUAAGUCGCAUAAAUAUGCUCUUAUCAUGGCUCCCUUCCCCUUUACUUGGGUUCCCCUCAAUUCCAAUUAAAUAAUGUCUUACAUAUUCCUUAUCUUAAAAAAAAUCUUUUGUUUGUUUCAAGGCCGCUGUAAGGAUCAUUUUUAGCCCAUGUCUCCAUCUCGUCUAUCUGCUUUCCAUGACAUCUCCUCCUCCUUGUCGCACUCUUGUCUUGGUCAUCUGUAAUCUUAAGUUUUAUCUAAACUGUCUUUAGAUUUUAUGUCUACUUUAAAUAAAGAGUUUUAUAAACCCCGUGCACAUUCUAAGUCCACAUCAAGAAAACAGAGAAUAUGUGACGGAAUUACUUGUUGAUAGAAGCAUAUUUAUGUGACUUUGUUAUCUUAUUUCUUUGCUUUUACUUAGUUAAUUUCCAUUUAUUUUGGUAAUUUAUGUUAUUUUCGUAUUAUUGUAGGUCCAAUUGGUAAAGAUGACAAUAAAUGGCAAAGUGGGGCAAUUUGAAGCAGUUUUUGACUUGGAUUGGAUAGCAUACGUGGAUAGCUUAUGGGAUGGACAUUUUGUUGUUUAAAUGGUGCUAGAUAUGUGCUAAAAUCUAGUGAAAUUAAAGUUGAAGUUUGGAAGACAAGGAAUUACACAAGAAAGAGGAAUUCUAGUUGGAGAGGAACCUUAUCUUAUCUAACCUUAUCUUAUCUUAUCUUAUCCAAUCUUACCUUAUUUUAUCUCCAGCUGCAAGGAGGAACCCUUAUCAUAUUUCAACACUUCCUAUCUGAUUCUAGGAGUCCUAAAAUAAUUCAAACAACCUAAUCUUUUUCCUCCUGGGAUUUAGCUGUGCCCUUACCCUAUAUAUACAUUAUUGCCGCAAAUUAGAGAGGAGAUGAGGGUGCCAUGCCUACCAUUCAUCCAUUGAAGUCGCUAGAGUUUUCUGGGUUCUUUCUAUCUUUGUUUUAAGUUUCAAUGUUUAUUUUAGAUUAUUUUUUAGUUAUGAUGAACAUGUGUAACUAAGUUUCUUUUAAGUUAGAGGUGAAUUCAAAGCCAUGAUCAUAUGUUUUAUAUAAAUUGAUUACAUCCAGUUAUUGUUUCAUAACACAUGAAUGCGAUUUACUUAUUUGCUUUAUAAUCUUGUAUAUUUAUUAAGGGUGCACACUUAGUUUGCAUGCAGGGAUUUGAUGCUAGAAUAUAAGGGAAUUUUACUUAAUCGUUAUGAACUUAUAUUUGCAAGUAGUAAAAGUCACUAGUCAUGACUAAGUUAAGUAAAUUCUUGGCAGGAGUAUCAUGUUUUUCAUAGUUACGAAUGCUUUGUCAAUACUUAUGAUUUUCACAGAACGUAAUGAUCUUUGAGAUGUAUCUUUAUCAUGCUUUUCAUAGUUAGGGAACUUGAGAAGAAUAAUUUGGUUGCGUCGCCAAUUCAAUGAACUUAGGAAAAUAUGAGAGUUAAUAAGUGCUGUUCACAAUUAAUUUGGGGCAUUGUCAUUCAUGGUUUAUAGGAAGAAUAAUUGGAAAUCGAUUUGUAUGCAUAUGUUUCAUGUGUGGAGAAGAAUCCUCUAGCUAUCCUCUCACCAAUAUUUCAUUCACAAUUUAAUUUACUUGCUGCCCUUUACUUCUGUUUUAAUUAAAUUCAUCCAAAAUCCCCCCUCACCGUUUUGUUGUUAGUUUAACUUAAUUUUCAGUUUUAUAAGUUUAAUUUGUGUUGAUUAGCAUCCCUUUUAAUCCCCGGAAUAGAAUGAUUCCUACUUACUUAUACUACGAUUGCAUAAUUUAUAUGGUUUAAUUUGUGUGUUAGUUUCUACCACAUCACUUGUGGCGCCUAGACAUUCGUCAUAUUUCACUGAAAUAGGUGAGGAGAUUUGAGAAACCGUCACAUAAAAAACUUUAGCAGGACUCGAAAUAUUUUUUAGAUUUUAUGCAUCACAUACUUUUAGAUUCGCCACGUAUAAAUGUGCUGGAAAUUUUACUGCCGAAAUGAAAAUCAAUUAGUGACGAAUUUUUAGAAUGUGUCACAUAACUAGGUAAUGCAACAAAAAUAUAUGUAAGGCUAAUUCAUGCCUCACCCAUUGUAUAUAAAAAAGAAAAAUGAUUUAAUACUAAUAAAAUAAAAUAAAAGUAAAACUUUUAGGGAUUAAAUCAGAACUCCUCUUUCAUCAAAAUUACUUCGUCCGCAUUGCUCACCCACUCCAUUUCCAGUUGCUCUCCAAUAACUAAUGCGAUGAAAGUUAAGCACUCAAAUUAAACCCUCUUGUUGUCAAAUUGUAGUAAAAAUGCAAGUAGGGAUCGUUCUAAACCAGGGAUUAGGAGGGCUUACUAAAACCUCUAAACUAACUCAAAAAAACAUAAAAACAAAGUGAAAAACGUUUGAAUACACUCAAAGGACUCAAAACAGAUUCUAUAGACGCAAAACAACUUAAAAACACUCAAAAUUGCCUAAAAACACUUACUGGGCAGAUUUGACUCUAACACAACUUUGGAUGAAUUUAGUGUUUUGGUUUAAAUCAAAACACUAAAAAACACUAACGAAAUAGAAAUUUAACACUUUGAAACAACAAAGUAAAAGGGGGAUUUUGGUUUUGACGAAUUCGAAACAAACAACAACUUAUAAAAUUAGACAGGUUGUAAAGCGAAUUUAAGAAAUGAGAUGAUGGAUGGAUUAGUUAGUGAUGCGAAAAUAACUUAACACACAAAUUAAACCCUCUUGUUGUCAAUUGUAGUAAAGAAUGUAAGUAGGGAUCGUUCUAGGCCGGGGAUUAGGAGGGAUUGCUAAAACACUUGAAACUGACUUAAAUAUGUGAAAACAAACUUAAAAGCAUGAAAUUAAACUUACAAGACUGAAAACAAAGUCACAAGACUCAAAACAGAUUAUAGAGACUCAAAACUGCCUAAAAACAACUCUAAGGCAGUUUCUGCCACUAACACAAAGUUUGGACGACAAUUGAUUUUAUCUUGACUUAAAACACUUAAAAAAACAAUCUAAAACAAGUACUAACUAAUAUGACUUAAUAAAAUAAAGGGGAUUUUGGUUUUGGACGAAGAUAAGGGAAACAAAGCAAGAACAAUUUAAACAGAUUCUUAGACAAAUUUAGGUGAAUUGAUGGGUGAUGGAUUAAACUAUGGAUGAUGGGCUAGCUAGAGGGUUCUUCUCCACACAUGACAUACUUGCACAUAAACCAAUUUUCAGUUGUUCUUUCGAUCAAUCAUGAAACUAAACACCCCAGGUUAAUUAAGUCCGCUUAAAUUAACCUUCAAGUUCUCCUUAAGUUAUUGAAUUGGAUGGGAAAGC